UACGAAGGGACCUAGCGUAGUUCGGAAUUACUGGGCUUAAAGAGCUCGUAGGUGGUUAAAAUAGUUGAUGGUGAAAUCCCAAGGCUCAACCUUGGAACUGCCAUCAAAACUUUUUAGCUAGAGUGUGAUAGAGGUAAGUGGAAUUUCUAGUGUAGAGGUGAAAUUCGUAGAUAUUAGAAAGAACACCAAAUGCGAAGGCAACUUACUGGGUCACUACUGACACUGAGGAGCGAAAGCAUGGGUAGCGAAGAGG
rnacentral:rRNA from 1 species